rnacentral:rRNA from 1 species
UUUGAAAUCUGGCUUCCUUUGGGGGUCCGAGUUGUAAUUUGCAGAGGGUGCUUUGGCGUUGGUGGCGGUCUAAGUUCCUUGGAACAGGACAUCGCAGAGGGUGAGAAUCCCGUUUGUGGUCGCAUGCCUUCGCCGUGUAAAGCCCCUUCGACGAGUCGAGUUGUUUGGGAAUGCAGCUCUAAAUGGGAGGUAAAUUUCUUCUAAAGCUAAAUACUGGCCAGAGACCGAUAGCGCACAAGUAGAGUGAUCGAAAGAUGAAAAGCACUUUGGAAAGAGAGUCAAACAGCACGUGAAAUUGUUGAAAGGGAAGCGCUUGCAGCCAGACUUGCCCGUAGUUGCUCACCCAGGCUUUUGCCCGGGGCAUUCUUCUGCGGGCAGGCCAGCAUCAGUUUGGGCGGUCGGAUAAAGGCCUCUGUCACGUAUCUUCCUUCGGGAUGACCUUAUAGGGGAGGCGACAUGCGACCAGCCCGGACUGAGGUCCGCGCUUCUGCUAGGAUGCUGGCGUAAUGGCUGUAAGCGGCCCGUCUUGAAACACGGACCAAGGAGUCUAACAUCUAUGCGAGUGUUUGGGUGUCAAGCCCGAGCGCGUAAUGAAAGUGAACGGAGGUGGGAACCCUUGGGUGCACCAUCGACCGAUCCUGAUGUCUUCGGAUGGAUUUGAGUAAGAGCAUAGCUGUUGGGACCCGAAAGAUGGUGAACUAUGCUUGAAUAGGGUGAAGCCAGAGGAAACUCUGGUGGAGGCUCGCAGCGGUUCUGACGUGCAAAUCGAUCGUCAAAUUUGGGCAUAGGGGCGAAAGACUAAUCGAACUAUCUAGUAGCUGGUUCCUGCCGAAGUUUCCCUCAGGAUAGCAGUAACGUUUUCAGUUUUAUGA